UGCAGCCAAGAAAGGAGGGAAAAGCAUAGGCACAAGGAGAUGUCUUGUACCUUGUGUGUAUAAAUACCCAAACUACAGUAUUAAAGGUGACUAUUAGUUUGAGCUCAUCUUGUUUGUCUAUUCUACUGCCAGCUAUGUGGUACUAAGGCCUCUAAACGUGAAGAUUCACCUUUUUUGGGAACUAAAACAAGUAUCUUAAGGACUUGUAUCAACUCAAGCAGGAAAUCACUGUGUCCUCAAGCCAGCAUGGAAAACGAGUCUGCAGUUGAGAAACUUGUACCUGUGUGAAGUGGAGGUAAAUGAAGCUUUUAAGCAGGGCGGAGGGAAGGGGGACCGCUGAAAAGAUUAAUUGACUUUCUACAGAGCUUCACUUAUCCUCCUCUGGCACCUUUGACUUGCUAUGGUUAUAGCUGCUACCCCAGCAGGACCCCUUCUUGUCAGCCACUAAUGCUGUGACUGACAUCCAUCAACUAUGAGCCACCACAAGAUGGGUAAACAUGAUAGAGGGCAA
ensembl:lncRNA